AGAGGGUGCUUGCAAGUCCUGUGCUGUAGGUGCUCGAGCUGUUUUUUCCUCUACAGUGCUUCAGCAUCCCCUCCUGCUGUUUGCUACCCACAGCUUGGCCUGCAGCAGCAAAGCUGAUCUCCACUGAGGACCACAUCAGGAGAGCUUGGAGCAUUGCUUGCACUUGUUGGCUGAUGGAGGUCCAGCCAAGCGUGCCCUCGCCGGGCCGGGUGCUGGCAGCCACUGCGGUCCUGAGUGUCAGCAGAAACGGCCGUGCUGGUGGGGAACGGAGCAGGCUGACGGCAGCCCGAUGGACACGAUAACUCCGGAGCAGGGGAUGCUCCGAGCAGGAGGCAACAUGAAAAUCCAGUCUGGAGCUCCAGCCUUGCGGGAAGGCAGACGGCUCCUCUGAUGUGCAGCCAAGCUCCCCAGGCAGGGAGGGCACGGGGAAGCAGCAGGAGUGCUCACUGAUGCCUGAGCUCCUCCAGCACGCAGACGUUUCACAUGCGAAAUAUCAAAGCGUUCCCAGGAACAAAUGUACUUCCUGCAGCUCCUCAGAUCUGCCUCCGUGCCAGGGACGCCAGGAAGAGCAGCAUUCCCGUCCCGGGAUGUUGUA